rnacentral:rRNA from 1 species
CUUAACACAUGCAGUCGAACGGGCUCUUCGGAGCUAGUGGCGGACGGGUGAGGAACGCGUGAGAACCUGCCUCAAGGUCGGGGACAACAGUUGGAAACGACUGCUAAUACCGGAUGAGCCGAAUAGGUAAAAGAUUUAUCGCCUAGAGAGGGGCUCGCGUCUGAUUAGCUAGAUGGUGAGGUAAAGGCUUACCAUGGCGACGAUCAGUAGCUGGUCUGAGAGGAUGAGCAGCCACACUGGGACUGAGACACGGCCCAGACUCCUACGGGAGGCAGCAGUGGGGAAUUUUCCGCAAUGGGCGAAAGCCUGACGGAGCAAUACCGCGUGAGGGAGGAAGGCUCUUGGGUUGUAAACCUCWAWACUUAGGGAAGAAAAAAAUGACGGUACCUAAUGUAAGCAUCGGCUAACUCCGUGCCAGCAGCCGCGGUAAUACGGAGGAUGCAAGCGUUAUCCGGAAUCAUUGGGCGUAAAGAGUCCGUAGGUGGCACUUCAAGUCUGCUUUCAAAGACCGAAGCUCAACUUCGGAAAGGGAGUGGAAACUGAAGAGCUAGAGUAUAGUAGGGGUAGAGGGAAUUCCUAGUGUAGCGGUGAAAUGCGUAGAGAUUAGGAAGAACACCAGUGGCGAAGGCGCUCUACUGGGCAUAUACUGACACUGAGGGACGAAAGCUAGGGGAGCGAAAGGGAUUAGAUACCCCUGUAGUCCUAGCGGUAAACGAUGGAUACUAGGCGUAGUGCUGUUAGAGGGACUGUGCCGAAGCUAACGCGUUAAGUAUCCCGCCUGGGGAGUACGCACGCAAGUGUGAAACUCAAAGGAAUUGACGGGGACCCGCACAAGCGGUGGAGUAUGUGGUUUAAUUCGAUGCAACGCGAAGAACCUUACCAAGGCUUGACAUCCUGCGAAUCUUGGAGAAAUCUGAGAGUGCCUAAGGGAACGCAGAGACAGGUGGUGCAUGGCUGUCGUCAGCUCGUGUCGUGAGAUGUUGGGUUAAGUCCCGCAACGAGCGCAACCCUCGUCCUUAGUUGCCAGCAUUAAGUUGGGGACUCUAGGGAGACCGCCGGGGAGAACUCGGAGGAAGGUGGGGAUGACGUCAAGUCAGCAUGCCCCUUACGUCUUGGGCUACACACGUACUACAAUGGUUGGGACAAAGGGGAGCGAAACCGCGAGGUGGAGCGAAUCUCAUCAAACCCAGCCACAGUUCAGAUUGCAGGCUGAAACUCGCCUGCAUGAAGGAGGAAUCGCUAGUAAUCGCAGGUCAGCAUACUGCGGUGAAUCCGUUCCCGGGNCUUGUACACACCGCCCGUCACACCAUGGAAGUUGGUCACGCCCGAAGUCGUUAUUCUAACCCAAGUGGAAGGAGAC